UACGUAGGGGGCAAGCGUUGUCCGGAUUUACUGGGCGUAAAGCGCGCGUAGGCGGCUUUGUAAGUUAGAGGUGAAAGCCCGGAGCUCAACUCCGGAACUGCCUUUAAAACUGCAUCGCUUGAAUCCAGGAGAGGUGAGUGGAAUUCCGAGUGUAGAGGUGAAAUUCGUAGAUAUUCGGAAGAACACCAGUGGCGAAGGCGGCUCACUGGACUGGUAUUGACGCUGAGGUGCGAAAAGCGUGGGGAGCAAACAAG
rnacentral:rRNA from 1 species